rnacentral:lncRNA from 1 species
UGGAAGUGUACGGAGAAAAGUCCUUUUCUAGUACAGGAUUGUUGAUCCUCAUCCAUUAUUUGAUUUGAAUGCUCUAAAAUUUUGUCUCAAAAUUAAAAAUCGUAAGCUUAGUGAUGAAGAAAUUAGAAUGCCGAGAGCAUUUAAAAAUAAUACCUAAGUUUUAGAACGCAUCAAAGUAACCCUCCUUAGUUCUUUCACCACAGGAUAUGGUUCAGUUCAUCUGCCAAGAGGAGCAUUUUUGGUGAAAAUAUUGCAAAACAAAAGUUAUUGAGAUUGUGAGCAAGCAAACAUGAAAAAGCAGAGUAGAAAUGACAUUGAAAUUACUUCAAACCACUUACCACAAUGUAAACACCCAAAAUCAUUUGAAAUUACCUCCCACAUUUCCAAGGACGGGGUUAAAAUGACCUUCGUCACCACAGCCAAGUUCCCACCUCCACUUCUACCUCCAGAACUGCAACCAAG